GCUGCGGAUCCUGGACGUCACCCGCUCUGGCCCGUGCGUGCGGCGGCUGAGUGGCCCCGGGGUCUCCGAGGCCGAGGCGCUGGGACGCCCUUCCUGACAGCCGGUCUCCCGGCACGUAGCGCUCGCCUGACUCAGCGCUGAGUCACCGCUCCCGAGGACUCCCGCUUCGCCCUGCACAGCCAGAGGCUGCCGGGCUCCGUGCACGCCGAGGCCGAGCCCUCAGUGCCGCAGCCCGGUCUCUGCGCUUCCUGGAGCAGCGCAGGGUUUACAGCUUUUGAGCUUUUGAAUCCCGACCAAGCCCAGCACUAACUUCCUGCGUUGUUUUCUUUGCCUUAAGGGCUGACUAGUCUAGGGAUCAAAUUCUUCCAUCGAAGCUUGUUGGCGCAAAUCCCCGGCUUUGUCCUUGAACAGUGACUUUGAGAUGACCUUCGUUUGGAUUUUUUUUAAUACUUCCGCGGUUCCAAACUUCUGUCUUAUUUAUGCCCUCCGUUUCCUAAGGUUAUCUUUUCAGUGUGUUUGGUAACUAAUCUUGUCAUAAAGCCACACUGCGGUGACGCAAGUCAGGUUGGAAUCUGGCAUGGUGUACAGGCAGUGACUUACUGUAAAAUCCAGGGCCUUCAUCGCGACAUCCUAUCUGUCAUCUCAGGCGCUGAUUAGCUGCCUUGCCCUUGGAGAGGUCUCGGGGAUUUAGAAGGUCUGUUGAAAUCUGUCUUUAUAGCGGCCAUGUUUCUUGCUUCCUCCUCGGAGUUUAAAAUGAAGAGAACGAUAGAUAAGCAUUUCUGCAAACGUAGCUUGGACCACCUGUCCCAGAAGCACAAUUUUACUCCAAACUGCAGCUGCAGAAUGUCCUGAAUAAAACUAGAAACCCCGGCCACCUGCCAGUGAAACACGUGAUCCGCAAAGCCUACCAGAGGAUAGGAGGGAAGCAGUUUUCCUAGACUGAACACACAGACCACGUUGGUUCUGGUGUUCUUAUUCAUCUUUCUGUCUAAAAUACUGGAAAGGUAAAAUGCGGGGCGGCCACAUAAAAUAUCAGCGUACUGUUAUAGUGAUAGCCAUUUACAUCGCUGUUAAUAUGGUAGAUGGAACCGAAGGCCUGAUGCUCUAAUCAGACACUGCGCUGCACAGCUAUAGCCUCAGCAGGAAGUUGUUCCGACUUCUGAUCCCUGGAUAUUUUUCAUUUCCCUGGGAAACUCUUCCAGCUUCAUCUUUGCUAGCAUUGGAGCAAACUCCCCAACAAGCCCUUGUUGGUCCAAGUAGAGUUCUUGGACCAGCAACCCAGCAUCACAAAGUAGCUCAUAAGAAGCACAGGCUCUCUGAGCUGCUGACGCCGCAAAGUUGGAGGAGUGCUUGCCUAGUAUGCUUGAAGACUGGAGUGGAGGAAGGGAGAACAGAAGUUCAAAGUCAUCUUCAGAUGCGUCCUUAGAGCCUAGAAUCUCAGACUCCAUCCAAAAUUGGCAUGUUUACAAGGUCUCUUUAUAUCGUGAACUUGGGAAGAACUGAUCAGUGGGCUGGCAGAGCUUGGACCCCCAAGUGGAGCAUGCCUCCAUUGUUUGUGAGUUCUGUCUCAGCUCAGAGUGGAUGGACGCACAGUUCCAGGGGAGCAAGGAUGUGUGCAACAGAAACUAGUGUUAGCCACUCUUGUUCAUCUAGGUGGAUCAUCUCCAGAGACUGAAGAUAUCAGCAGGGCCUAGGAUAUCUGGGCGGCUCCUUCUCCUUCUGCUCCCAGCCCCAAAUCUAACCCUUCAAUAAGGUUACUGGGGAGAAGGUUAAGCCCAUUUAUUUACUUUCUGUAGAUGACUGGUCCAUUUCCUCUCACACACACAAAUCACUCUGUAAAUAAACACACCAUGAAUACUUAAACAGUGAAUCUGAUUUUUGGAGACUUGUCAAAAACAUGUUAAAAAAACUGCUAAACUAAAAAUCAAAUUUUGACUGAUGUUUCCAAAGAAAAUCAGCUUCUGAAAUGAACUUGUGAGAAAAUAACCAACCAGCAACCCUCUGUCCUUCCCUGGUUAAUGAAACAGGGGAGGCUGCUGUGGGAAGAGGAAAUCAUCCGGGAACUCCAGACAGGGAAAAAGGCUACAUUCUUACCGAGUGGCUUGUAUUAGCAUUGCUGUGGCCUCGGCACACUGUUACAUUGGGGAGAAGAUGUUAAAGUAGAUCUUCAAUGGUUCUUGCUCUUUUUGCUGCAUACCUCACAAUCAUGCAUUGGAAUAGACAGAGGCAGCACUAGGAAAUGUCACUUAUACUUUUCAAUUACAAAGAACAUGAAUUUCAGAGGGAGUUGUUAUCCAUAAAGAUAGUAGUAGAACACUCUAAAUUACUUUUACCUUAAACUUUAAUCUAGAUUGGGUUCAACAACUCAUCUGGUAAAGAAAGUCAUUUGCCACCAAGUCUGACAAUAUAAGUUUAAGUCUUAAAACCCCAUACACAUAAAACAAACAAACAAAUAAAG
rnacentral:lncRNA from 1 species